GAGGAUAGAGCUCAGUGGUAGAGUGCAUGCUUAGCAUGCAUGAGGUCUGGGUUCAAUCCCAACCUCC
rnacentral:tRNA from 1 species